AUUGAACGCUGGCGGCAUGCUUUACACAUGCAAGUCGAACGGUAACAGGCCGCAAGGUGCUGACGAGUGGCGAACGGGUGAGUAAUGCAUCGGAACGUGCCCAGUCGUGGGGGAUAACUACUCGAAAGAGUAGCUAAUACCGCAUACGAUCUAUGGAUGAAAGCGGGGGACCGUAAGGCCUCGCGCGAUUGGAGCGGCCGAUGUCAGAUUAGGUAGUUGGUGGGGUAAAGGCUCACCAAGCCAACGAUCUGUAGCUGGUCUGAGAGGACAACCAGCCACACUGGGACUGAGACACGGCCCAGGCUCCUACGGGAGGCAGCAGUGGGGAAUUUUGGACAAUGGGCGCAAGCCCGAUCCAGCAAUGCCGCGUGCAGGAAGAAGGCCUUCGGGUUGUAAACUGCUUUUGUACGGAACGAAACGGCUCUGGUUAAUACCCGGGGCUAAUGACGGUACCGGAAGAAUAAGCACCGGCUAACUACGUG
rnacentral:rRNA from 1 species